GACGGUCACACCGCGGCGGGUUUCUAUGAUGACCGGAUAUUCCUAAGUCUUCGCACAUCAGGGCCACAGCCCCAACCUCACAGGAAACAGGCAGCCAGCAGAGGACUUCAAAAGAACCUUGGUCUCCAACAUCUUUUAUCUUAACCUGAACAUUUCCUCUCUAUUGAUCCCAGGUAUUUUUAGACAAACUCAACCAAUUCUAAUCAGAAAAUGUUUAAAUUUACCUGUAGCCUGGAAGCUCUCACUUUGAGUUGUCCCACCUUUCUGAACAAAAUUAUUGCAUCUUUUAAAUGUGUUUGAUUGAUGUCUAAUGCCUCCCUAAAAUGUCUAAGAAGAAGCUGUUCCCCAUCACCUUGGACAUAUGUUCUCAGGACCUCCUGAGAGUUGUGUCAUGGGCCA
rnacentral:lncRNA from 1 species